GUCAGUAUGUACAGUAGAUGAUGCCAGUUUCCAUUCAGUAAGAACACUAAUUGGCCGGAGUUUCAAUCCUUUCCACAGGAUGCCCACUCCUACGGAGGGAUCAAUUGGAUUGUGAAGAGAGAUUGACGGGUCGAGCCCCGUCCCGGAUCCAUGAUUAAUAUUUUAAACGGAUGGAAUCAGAGACUCGAACCGAGGUCCUCUGGAGUGGAAAGCCGAAACGUUUCCACGCGGCCAGACCGGUCGACAGUGAUGACAUUUAAGAUCUCCUUACUUUAUAUCAUAAUUUUCGACGACAUCUAUACUUAAUUGGAUUGUUCAUAGUCCCAAUUAUAGAUAUCUGGAAGGAUAUAAAUCUCUUCUUCAACAUCGUGUAAAUAUGUUGCUUUUUAAAACUAAUCUAUAAUUUUCUAUAUUUUCUUGCAAUGAAAAAUCUUUUUACCAUUCUUUUGAGAAAGAUAUCUCCUGCUUGACGAGACCGUGGCUUCUUAAUGUUGAUUCCCACAAGCGCGAAAAACUGCCUUCUGACGUCAUCCCACGCGGUCAGAGAACAGUUUUAGGCGCGGAUUUUCGGCGGCGGAGUGGAAUCAUCUUCAACUUCAACCUCCCCGGUAGCUGACCGUUCUGCUUUAUGAUCGAUAGCCACACUCCCAACUUUACCUCAGAUUUCAAUACGACUGCUUAUUUAGUUAUUGAUAAUCUAAAUGAGAAGUUUCACUUUAUUUUCCAUCAUAAUCAUAUAGUAUACAUUAUUCAAAAUUCGGCACUCUCAUGUUUACUGAAAUGUGGGAAGUCUAUACAGCUUUCCCUGAUGCACAUUAGUGUGAACAGCUGAGCAGUUUUUAGAGGCGGAAAAGUAAAGUGGUAAAAUAUCGUUACCGCGCUAGUGAGAACCAACCUUUAGUCUCAACAUGUCCCAAUUAAGCAGAAUUGAUCGUAUUUGAUAUUUUCAUUGU
rnacentral:lncRNA from 1 species